GCUUUAUUCAUCGCUGCCCAAACUUGGAAGUAACCAAGAUGUCCUUCAGUAGGAAGAGGAAAUCUGGAUGCACAGAGACAUCAUCAGGGGCGCACACACACAGAGGGAUGGCCCUGUGUGGACAGAGUGAGCAGGUGGCCGUCUGCAAGCCAAGGAGAACGGCCCCAGGAGGCACAGACACGGGGACGCCUCGAUCAUGGACUUCUGGUCUCCAGAACAGUGAGAACGUAAGGAUCCCAUGGAAAGAUUUCCAUGAAAUAUGCCAUCGGCUUGGCCCAGGUUCAGAGAUUCAGAACAAUCCAAUGGCAGAGUGAGGGAUGGGGUCCAGCCUGAGCUGCAUCCCCAGGGGACUGUGUUAGUGACCACCAGGCACCAGCGGACAACCAGCAGUGGCACUGGCCAGAGGUGAGCAGAAAGACUCAGAGAUGAAGUGAUUUGCGCAAGGCACAGAAAAAUAUAUUGAUAAGCAAGGGUUAAGUUGACUUGAGAAACAAAAAACCUCCAAAAAUGAUGAUGGAUGACAAGAGAGAGGAGUUAGCAGCCAGCCUUUGGCCCGCGGCCCCCUCCUGAGAUGGGAAGCAGCACCAGGGGAACAGCAGGUGGGGUGAAAGGAGACCAUGCG
rnacentral:lncRNA from 1 species